rnacentral:hammerhead_ribozyme from 1 species
AUCCAGCUGAAGAGUCUUAAAUAGGACAAAACGCGCUCCCUGGAU